rnacentral:tRNA from 1 species
GACUCUGUAGUUGAAUGUUACAACAACAAAUUGCAAGUUUGGUGGUAUGUUAGAUGCAUCAGGGUAU